GACCCUGCUGCUGGUUUGUUUCACUACGACAGACUCUGUGUCUGUCUCCCGAGUAAAUAGAAACGCAGAGUAAAUACAGAUACAGAGUAAAUAUGGGUUAUUGUUGUGCAGCUAGCCCUAAACUAGAAAUAUUACUUCAUUACCUUUUGCCAUCCUAACCUUUGUAAAAGGGUCGAAGAGGCAAAAAAAACAUAGCAAUGUCCAAUUACCCUGGUUACCAUAGUUCCCUUUAAGCUAUGCGCAUGUGCGCGCACACACACGUUUUUCAACCAGCGCACAAAGGAAAUUAAUGUGCACACAAAAGUUAUUGGCUCAGCUGCUGCUUAACCAGUUGAUAAAGUGAUGCAGGCACACCAAUGAGGAAAUGACACCUGGGACAAAGUUUUAUUGGACUGAACAUAGUGGAAAACAAAUAAAUGCACAAAAAGGUGACAUGGAUAUGGGGAGGCUUAACCAACCAUAUGUUUGCAAACCCAUUGGGGUCUGAUGUCCCAAGAAUGGCUGGUAUGAGAAACUAAAUAAAACUGCCCUUUGUGGCUCUAACAAGUUUGACGUUGCUGCAUUUCUGACCAUUGCCAUUUCCAGGUCACAGAGCAGCAAGCAACAACAGCUUGAGGCUCACCAAAGUGGACUGGAUAGAACUGUCCCAUGGGCCAGAUCCUGCCAGCCAGCCAUAUGUUGUGCACCAUGAAGUUAUGUGAAACACUUGUCAAACCACACAGCACAGGAGGUUACCAUUGUGCUUGCUAAGAAAUCCAAUUAGUUCCACCCCCUUCUGCUUUUUCCUUAUAACUGUACAUUUCAUUUAGAGUAAAUAUUCGCCACCCUGCUGAAAGUCGUUAAUGAAUCUGUUUAUCAGUCCUGCACUGAGACAAUAACCUACACAAUUCUAAUUAAUUCUCUCGCUUUCACCAAUUACCUUAUGAUACAAACUUCUAGAACCUCCAUUAUUUCUCUGGUACAAUAACAACCUGUAUCUCCUUAAGAGUGUUGAGUAUUGGGUUCCGGUGACAUCAUCUUUCAGAACGGCAGCUUAAAUCAACAGCUCCUCCGGAAAAACACAUAUUUUGCCCCGUUAAUCCAUCAAAUAUAAGAUCUUUCGAAAAUAUCUGAAUUGAUAAGUGGGGCAAGAAUGGGGAGAAAGAAUGGAAAUUUUAAAAAAAACACCACUGCGUAGCCUAUGGAAGAGAGAGGAACAGCGCACGGCACUCCAACAAGUACGCGUGGUGGCGAGGCUAACGCUGGGCCUCAUGCAGGUGAAGCGGUAAAUAUGAUAAGGAGUUUGGAAGAGAUAAGGGAAGUCCAAAAAGAUAUAAAGCAGCAACUAAAUGAUAUAAAGUCAGAGCUUGCCAAUGUCAAUCUGAAAAUAGAGGUGGCAGAUAUUCGAAUUGAGAAGAUGGAAGAUUGUGUGCAAAACGUGGAACAAAUACUAAGAAAGACGAUAAAAAUAUUAAAUCAACAGGAAAGUAAAUUGCUUGACCAGCAGGGAAGAUUGCGACGGCAAAAUAAUCAAGAUUUAUAAUGUUCCCGAAGGAGCGGAGGGAUUGUCGAUGAUAGACUUUGUAGAAAAGCUGUUGCGGGAAGCGCUGGAGAUUCCUCAGACUAUGGAGUUUAAAAUUGAAAGGGUGCACCGUUCGCUUGUCCAGCGGCCUCCCAGCGACAGAGAAGGUAAACCGCGCUCCAUUGUACUUAGAUUCCUUUGAUUCAAGAGCAAGGCAGAGAUUCUACGAAGGGCCUGGGGUAAGAAGAGGGUGUUUUGGAACGGGAAGUUAACAUACUUCGAUCAUGAUUACCCGCACCCCCCCCCCCACCGGUGGUCCUACAGAAAUGGAAGGAAUAUUCCGAAGUAAAACAAAUAUUAAAGCAAGAAAAGAUUAAAUUCCAAACCCCGUACCCGGCUAAACUGAGGGUAUUUUACCAAGAAGGGAUACGACUAUAUCAGACGGUGGAAGAGGCAACUACAGACAUGAACAACAGUGGACUGCCCAUUAGCAUGGUCAAACCAAGGGAAACUCUGGCUGAGCAGUUAUCCCGAACUGCUUGGGAAAUAGUAAGAGAACCUAGAAAGCAGGGGACGGGAACAGGACGAGAGAAGGAUAUUAGGAAGGGACUGUCAGUUCUCCGAGGGCAGCCCUCACCUCCUCCAGAAGAGCCAUAUAAUCUGGCUAACUUUAAAAGUGCUGAUAAACUAAACAGAAGCAAAAAUAGACGGUGAUAUACCUAUCUCGAGAAAUACAUGUUAUAAUGUGGAUUUUUUAUUACUCAAUUUUUAAAAAAAAAAUCAUUUAUUCAUUCCUUUUUCCCCACCUAAAUGAGAAUAUAUACAUGGGAGGAAUACACAGGGAAAUCAUUUCUGUGUAAUGGACACAGUUUUUGUUUAAAUUUACUUUUAUAGGUAAUGCAGCGGGGGCCCUCAACCCACAGGUAGGAGGGGCUAUCCCCCAUGGCUAGAUUUUUCUUCUAGCCCAACCCACGGUCAUCUAGAGACCCCA